AUACUCCGAGAACUGAAAGGCUUUUUGAAGUCUUCGGAUGGAUAGAAGAACCCCUGAUGCCGUCGAGCCAAGAAAAGUUUCUAAGUUUAGCUAAUGUUGCCCGUACCGUAAACCGACACAGGUGGGUGGGAUGAGUAUUCUAAGGCGCGUGGAAGAACUCUCUUUAAGGAACUCUGCAAAAUAGCACCGUAUCUUCGGUAUAAGGUGUGGUUAGCUUUGUAUUAGGAUUUACUCCGAAAGCAAGGAAACUUACAACAAAGAGUCCCUCCCGACUGUUUACCAAAAACACAGCACUCUGCUAACUCGUAAGAGGAUGUAUAGGGUGUGACGCCUGCCCGGUGCUCGAAGGUUAAUUGAUGGGGUUAGCAUUAGCGAAGCUCUUGAUCGAAGCCCGAGUAAACGGCGGCCGUAACUAUAACGGUCCUAAGGUAGCGAAAUUCCUUGUCGGUUAAAUACCGACCUGCAUGAAUGGCGUAACGAGAUGGGAGCUGUCUCAAAGAGGGAUCCAGUGAAAUUGUAGUGGAGGUGAAAAUUCCUCCUACCCGCGGCAAGACGGAGAGACCCCGUGGACCUUUACUACAGCUUGACACUGCUAUUUGGAUAAGAAUGUGCAGGAUAGGUGGGAGGCUUUGAGUAUAUGACGCCAGUUGUAUAUGAGCCAUUGUUGAGAUACCACUCUUUCUUAUUUGGGUAGCUAACCAGCUUGAGUUAUCCUCAAGUGGGACAAUGUCUGGUGGGUAGUUUGACUGGGGCGGUCGCCUCCCAAAUAAUAACGGAGGCUUACAAAGGUUGGCUCAGAACGGUUGGAAAUCGUUCGUAGAGUAUAAAGGUAUAAGCCAGCUUAACUGCAAGACAUACAAGUCAAGCAGAGACGAAAGUCGGUCUUAGUGAUCCGGUGGUUCUGUGUGGAAGGGCCAUCGCUCAAAGGAUAAAAGGUACCCCGGGGAUAACAGGCUGAUCUCCCCCAAGAGCUCACAUCGACGGGGAGGUUUGGCACCUCGAUGUCGGCUCAUCGCAUCCUGGGGCUGGAGCAGGUCCCAAGGGUAUGGCUGUUCGCCAUUUAAAGCGGUACGCGAGCUGGGUUCAGAACGUCGUGAGACAGUUCGGUCCCUAUCUGCCGUGGGCGUAAGAAGAUUGAAGAGAUUUGACCCUAGUACGAGAGGACCGGGUUGAACAAACCACUGGUGUAGCUGUUGUUCUGCCAAGAGCAUCGCAGCGUAGCUAAGUUUGGAAAGGAUAAACGCUGAAAGCAUCUAAGCGUGAAGCCAACUCUAAGAUGAAUCUUCUCUAAGCUCUCUAGAAGACUACUAGUUUGAUAGGCUGGGUGUGUAAUGGAUGAAAGUCCUUUAGCUGACCAGUACUAAUAGAGCGUUUGGCUUAUCUUUAAUAAAGCAU
rnacentral:rRNA from 1 species